CUGAGUUUUCAACUCUCCAAACCAUGUGAACUUACCACUGUUGCCUCGGUGGUUUGGGUCUUCGGGACUGACCACCGGUGGACUACUAAACUCUUGUUAAUUUUUGGCAUUCUGAAUCAUAACUAAGAAAUAAGUUA
rnacentral:misc_RNA from 1 species